GGGGGGGGUGAUCGGAUACUGGGCGUAAGAGCGCGUAGGUGGUUCGAUCAGUCGGAGGUGAAAGCCCUCGGCUCAACCGAGGAUCCGCGUCCGAUACUGUCGAACUUGAGUGCAGGAGAGGAGAGCGGAAUUCCCAGUGUAGCGGUGAAAUGCGUAGAUAUUGGGAGGAACACCGGUGGCGAAGGCGGCUCUCUGGACUGCCACUGACACUGAGGCGCGAAAGCUAGGGGAGCAAACGGGAUUAGAUACCCCGGUAGUCCUAGCCGUAAACGAUGGGCACUAGGUGUGGGAGGUAUCGACCCCUUCCGUGCCGCAGCUAACGCAUUAAGUGCCCCGCCUGGGGAGUACGGCCGCAAGGUUGAAACUCAAAGGAAUUGACGGGGGCCCGCACAAGCAGCGGAGCAUGUGGUUUAAUUCGAAGCAACGCGAAGAACCUUACCUAGACUUGACAUCUCCUGAAUAGCCGGUAACUCGGCGAAGCCCUUCGGGGCAGGAAGACAGGUGGUGCAUGGUUGUCGUCAGCUCGUGUCGUGAGAUGUUGGGUUAAGUCCCGCAACGAGCGCAACCCUUAUUAUUAGUUGCUACCAUUUAGUUGGGCACUCUAAUGAGACUGCCGUGGUUAACGCGGAGGAAGGUGGGGAUGACGUCAAAUCAUCAUGCCCCUUAUGUCUAGGGCUACACACGUGCUACAAUGGUGAGUACAAAGAGACGCAAGACCGUGAGGUGGAGCAAAACUCAAAAACUCAUCCCAGUUCGGAUUGUAGGCUGAAACUCGCCUACAUGAAGCCGGAGUUGCUAGUAAUCGCGAAUCAGCAUGUCGCGGUGAAUACGUUCCCGGGCCUUGUACACACCGCCCGUCACACCAUGAGAGUCUGCAACACCCGAAGUCCGUGAGGUAACCCGUAAAGGAGCCAGCGGCCGAAAGUGGGGCCGAUGAUUGGGGUGAAGUCGUAACAAGGUAACC
rnacentral:rRNA from 1 species